rnacentral:rRNA from 3 species
GGCAGGCCUAACACAUGCAAGUCGAACGGUAACAGGAAGCAGCUUGCUGCUUUGCUGACGAGUGGCGGACGGGUGAGUAAUGUCUGGGAAACUGCCUGAUGGAGGGGGAUAACUACUGGAAACGGUGGCUAAUACCGCAUAACGUCGCAAGACCAAAGAGGGGGACCUUCGGGCCUCUUGCCAUCAGAUGUGCCCAGAUGGGAUUAGCUUGUUGGUGAGGUAACGGCUCACCAAGGCGACGAUCCCUAGCUGGUCUGAGAGGAUGACCAGCCACACUGGAACUGAGACACGGUCCAGACUCCUACGGGAGGCAGCAGUGGGGAAUAUUGCACAAUGGGCGCAAGCCUGAUGCAGCCAUGCCGCGUGUAUGAAGAAGGCCUUCGGGUUGUAAAGUACUUUCAGCGGGGAGGAAGGUGUUGUGGUUAAUAACCGCAGCAAUUGACGUUACCCGCAGAAGAAGCACCGGCUAACUCCGUGCCAGCAGCCGCGGUAAUACGGAGGGUGCAAGCGUUAAUCGGAAUUACUGGGCGUAAAGCGCACGCAGGCGGUCUGUCAAGUCGGAUGUGAAAUCCCCGGGCUCAACCUGGGAACUGCAUUCGAAACUGGCAGGCUUGAGUCUUGUAGAGGGGGGUAGAAUUCCAGGUGUAGCGGUGAAAUGCGUAGAGAUCUGGAGGAAUACCGGUGGCGAAGGCGGCCCCCUGGACAAAGACUGACGCUCAGGUGCGAAAGCGUGGGGAGCAAACAGGAUUAGAUACCCUGGUAGUCCACGCCGUAAACGAUGUCUACUUGGAGGUUGUGCCCUUGAGGCGUGGCUUCCGGAGCUAACGCGUUAAGUAGACCGCCUGGGGAGUACGGCCGCAAGGUUAAAACUCAAAUGAAUUGACGGGGGCCCGCACAAGCGGUGGAGCAUGUGGUUUAAUUCGAUGCAACGCGAAGAACCUUACCUGGUCUUGACAUCCACAGAAGAAUCCAGAGAUGGAUUUGUGCCUUCGGGAACUGUGAGACAGGUGCUGCAUGGCUGUCGUCAGCUCGUGUUGUGAAAUGUUGGGUUAAGUCCCGCAACGAGCGCAACCCUUAUCCUUUGUUGCCAGCGGUUAGGCCGGGAACUCAAAGGAGACUGCCAGUGAUAAACUGGAGGAAGGUGGGGAUGACGUCAAGUCAUCAUGGCCCUUACGACCAGGGCUACACACGUGCUACAAUGGCGCAUACAAAGAGAAGCGACCUCGCGAGAGCAAGCGGACCUCAUAAAGUGCGUCGUAGUCCGGAUUGGAGUCUGCAACUCGACUCCAUGAAGUCGGAAUCGCUAGUAAUCGUGGAUCAGAAUGCCACGGUGAAUACGUUCCCGGGCCUUGUACACACCGCCCGUCACACCAUGGGAGUGGGUUGCAAAAGAAGUAGGUAGCUUAACCUUCGGGAGGGCGCUUACCACUUUGUGAUUCAUGACUGGGGUGAAGUCGUAACAAGGUAACCGUAGGGGAACCUGCGGUUGGA